UGCAAAACUGUGGUGCCAAUAGCUUAUUGAAUCAGACAUCUUGUCAGGUUUGCAAAUUCAUGAUUAAGUUGCAUUUUCUAUGACUACAAAAGUGAAGACUUAAAUAUGUCCAAACUGUUAUGUGAUUUUAUAGAAAGGAUUGGCAUGUGCCCUAUCUCCAUGAAAGGACCAUCGUCCACAGCUCUUCUUCGUGUUGGAGAAGCAUUUGACAUAUAAGCACACCUUAAAAUUUACAUAUGAACUGGACCCUUAUCUGCGCAUUGUGCAGAUAUUUUUAAUUUUUUAUAAUUAUUAAUAAAAAGAAAAAAUCCAUUCCUUUUUUUCCUUUUCCCUAUAUUACUGGUAUCAUAUUCCCCAUGGAAGCUCCACGCUUUCUCUCUCCCUCUGAACUUCUACUCAGAGAAAACAAAGAAGAAGCAGUGCAGAUAGAGACCCCAGUGUGAAUUUGGAGAUUUCCCACUCGCCUUUUUCUUUGACUUUUUUGUUCACAUCAAUUCUCUUUUCCCAUUUCCUUUCAAGUUUUAAUCUUUCUUCUUCUUGAAUUUUCUCUCAUUCUUUUUCUUUUUCAUCGAAUGUGAUCAUUUCACGGGUGUUUGGAGAUCACAAAGGUCUCUGAAACCAUAAAUCUUCUAUAUUGUCUCCUUCUUCUUCCUUUCUGUUUCAGCUUGUCAUUCCCUCUUUUUCUUCAAAUUCUGCUUUUUGGGUUCUUUGAUUGAGCUCGGUUUCUUGAUUAUUUAAGACCCGAUUAGGCAGUUUCGGUUUCUUUACGUGUUUUGAUGGAUCUGUCCCUGCGGUUUUUUUUUUUAUUAUUUAUGGAGGUUGGAUGCAUUUCUCGAUCAUAUAAUCUGUUUCCAAAAUUUUCAAUUUUUUGCUUCUUUCUAAUUGAUUCCUUACCAGAACUCUCAUACCCAUCCAGCUAAUCUUUAAUGUCUGUAAUUUUAUAAGGCAAAUUUGCUCUGUAUUUUCUUUCUCCAAGCUUUCUCUGUUUUUUCAAGGACUUUCGUAGAUGGGUUGUGCUAGCUCAAAACAAAAGCGUUGCCGGCACUGCCACGCACCCUGCUCUCCGACGCCUCGGAGCUACUCAAUGCAUGUGGUUCAUCCGCCGCAGAAUAAAGGCGAUAACUACCAUGUAGUGGCGCUCACCUCCACUACAUUAGGCUCUCUGGCGCUCGAUUCACCUUCCAAUUACAAGGACAACGUCAACGAUGCUAUUGAUAUUUGGGCAGCGAGAGGCAAUGAUCAGGAGAAUUUGAGUGUGUGUGAUGGGCAAAAUGGGAUUUCAGAUGAUGAGGAAUUGAAGACCAAAGAAUUUUCGGUGGGUUUAAUUGAAGCCAAGUCAUGGUCUAAUAUGAUCCAAGAAAAAAUUCCCAAAAUUGUCCCUAAAACACCGGUAAGAACGCCGCCGGGAGAGCCUGAAACGAUCAAUGCUUGGGAGCUUAUGGCAGGGCUUGAAGAAGAUGAUGGUUCUGUACAUCUACCUCAUCGGUUUCGCAGCUUCUCUUUCGAUGUUUCUCGCAAUCCAAGUCCAGUUCUUGAUAGCCCAAGAAUUAAUGGUGUCACAUUUUCAUCAAAUAAGCCGCAGACUAAUCGGAAACCUCUGUGGCUUCAAUUAGCCGAUGAAGAAGCAAAUUCCAAGUGUUCAGAAUUCGACCCUCAAAUCUUUUCCGCUUUCAGAAAAUCUUUCCAAGAUCUCUCUCCCACCCAUCCAUUUUACCUCAAGCCAUCGGACGGCGAGAAACAACAAUCACCUGCUCCUCCUGCCUCGGCCGGCAACAAUCAAAUUAAAGAGAUUAACAAAGGCGGCAAGGAGAAGGUGGUAGUAUACUUCACAAGCCUACGAGGAGUUCGAAAAACAUACGAAGAUUGCUGCCAUGUGAGGGUGAUCUUAAAAAGCUUAGGUGUUCGAAUUGAUGAGCGAGACGUUUCGAUGCAUUCAGGGUUUAAGGAGGAGUUAAGAGAGCUAUUGGGAGAAGGGUUUAGCGGAGGAGGACUACCAAAGGUGUUCGUGGGAAUAAAGUACAUCGGCGGAGCUGAGGAGAUAAGGCGAAUGCACGAAGAAGGAGAGCUAGAGAAAGUGGUUGAAGAUUGUGAAAUGGUGCAGGACAGUGGUGGAAUUGGUAAUGGAACUUGUGAGGCUUGUGGGGAUAUCAGAUUUGUGCCAUGCGAGACAUGUUCUGGGAGCUGUAAGAUUUACUAUGAACGCGAUGAAGAAGAAGAAGAAGAAGAA
rnacentral:misc_RNA from 1 species